AGAUUGAACGCUGGCGGCAUGCCUUACACAUGCAAGUCGAACGCGAAAGGGGGGCAACCCCCGAGUAGAGUGGCGAACGGGUGAGUAAUACAUCGGAACGUAUCCAGUAGCGGGGGAUAACCUCUCGAAAGAGAGGCUAAUACCGCAUACGACCUACGGGUGAAAGAGGGGGAUCGCAAGACCUCUCACUAUUGGAGCGGCCGAUGUCGGAUUAGCUAGUUGGCGGGGUAAAAGCCCACCAAGGCUACGAUCCGUAGCUGGUCUGAGAGGACGACCAGCCACACUGGAACUGAGACACGGUCCAGACUCCUACGGGAGCAGCAGUGGGGAAUUUGGACAAUGGGCGCAAGCCUGAUCCAGCCAUGCCGCGUGAGUGAAGAAGGCCUUCGGGUUGUAAGCUCUUUCGGCGGGACGAAAGGUCGUAGUCAACACACUAGAUCAUGACGUACCGCAGAAGAAGCACCGCUAACACGCGCUAGCAG
rnacentral:rRNA from 1 species